AACGAACGCUGGCGGCAUGCCUAACACAUGCAAGUCGAACGAGAUCUUCGGGUCUAGUGACGCACGGGUGCGUAACGCGUGGGAAUCUGCCCUUUGGUUCGGAAUAACAGUUGGAAACGACUGCUAAUACCGGAUGAUGACGAAAGUCCAAAGAUUUAUCGCCGGAGGAUGAGCCCGCGUAGGAUUAGCUAGUUGGUGUGGUAAAGGCGCACCAAGGCGACGAUCCUUAGCUGGUCUGAGAGGAUGAUCAGCCACACUGGGGCUGAGACACGGCCCAGACUCCUACGGGAGGCAGCAGUGGGGAAUAUUGGACAAUGGGCGAAAGCCUGAUCCAGCAAUGCCGCGUGAGUGAUGAAGGCCUUAGGGUUGUAAAGCUCUUUUACCCGGGAUGAUAAUGACAGUACCGGGAGAAUAAGCUCCGGCUAACUCCGUGCCAGCAGCCGCAGUAA
rnacentral:rRNA from 1 species